GAUUUCUGGUGUGAUGCGCCUGACCCAUCCACUUCAGUGGCGUGAGUGUCGGUGCGCGUCUGCCAUCCUUCUAGAGAACGGGCCUGUCCUUCACUGGGUGGGUUCGCGAUCUAGAUCUUUUACUUUGAAAAAAUUAGAGUGUUUAAAGCAGGCUUUUGCUAUGAAUACAUUAGCAUGGAAUAAUAAUCUAGGACUUCGGUUCUAUUUUGUUGGUUUCUAUAACUGAAGUAAUGAUUGAUAGGGAUAGUUGGGGGUGCUAGUAUUGGCCGGCCAGAGGUGAAAUUCUUGGAUUCGGUCAAGACUAACUUAUGCGAAAGCAUU
rnacentral:rRNA from 1 species